rnacentral:rRNA from 1 species
CUUGCGCCAAUGCGCGAAAGCGUGACGCAGCGACGCCGCGUGGGGGAUGAAGGCCCUCGGGUUGUAAACCCCUUUCGCCAGGGACGAAGCGAGAGUGACGGUACCUGGAGAAGAAGCCCCGGCUAACUACGUGCCAGCAGCCGCGGUAACACGUAGGGGACGAGCGUUGUCCGGAUUCAUUGGGCGUAAAGCGCGCGUAGGCGGUCGUGCAAGUCGGUUGUGAAAUCCCGGGGCUCAACCCCGGGACUGCGUCCGAUACUGUGCGAAUGGAGGCAGGUAGGGGAGAUCGGAAUUCCUGGUGUAGCGGUGAAAUGCGCAGAUAUCAGGAGGAACACCGGUGGCGAAGGCGGAUCUCUGGGCCUUGCCUGACGCUGAGGCGCGGAAGCUAGGGGAGCGAACAGGAUUAGAUACCCUGGUAGUCCUAGCCGUAAACGUUGGGUGCUAGGUGUGGGCGGACAUCGACCCCGUCCGUGCCGAAGCUAACGCAUUAAGCACCCCGCCUGGGGAGUACGGCCGCAAGGCUA